CUCAGUAACACGUGGGAUAACCUAACCUUAGGACUGGAAUAACCCGGGAAGACUGGGGAUAAUACCGGAUAGGAUCAGGGAUGCUGGAAUGCACCUUGAUUCAAAGCCCCGGCGCCUAAGGAUGGGGUCUGCGGGCCUAUCAGGUUGUAGGUGGGUGUAACGUACCUACUAGCCAAACGACGGGUACGGGUUGUGAGAGCAAGAGCCCGGAGAUGGAUUCUGAGACACGAAUCCAGGCCCUACGGGGUGCAGCAGGCGCGGAACCUUUACAAUGUGCGAAAGCAUGAUAAGGGGACUCCGAGUGCCAGCAUCUAAUGCUGGCUGUCCUUGUGCCUAAAAAGCGCAAGAUAGCAAGGGCCGGGUAAGACCGGUGCCAGCCGCCGCGGUAACACCGGCGGCCCGAGUGGUAGCCGCUAUUAUUGGGUCUAAAGGGUCCGUAGCCGGUUCGGUAAGUCCUUUGGGAAAUCUGGUUGCUUAACAAUCAGACUGCCAAGGGAUACUGCUGAACUUGAGACCGGGAGAGGUAAGAGGUACUUCAGGGGUAGGAGUGAAAUCUUGUGAUCCCUGGGGGACCAUCUGUGGCGAAGGCGUCUUACCAGAACGGGUCUGACGGUGAGGGACGAAAGCUGGGGGCGCAAACCGGAUUAGAUACCCGGGUAGUCCCAGCCGUAAACGAUGCUCGCUAUGUGUCAGGUACGGUGCGACCGUAUCUGGUGCCGUAGGGAAGCCGUGAAGCGAGCCACCUGGGAAGUACGGUCGCAAGACUGAAACUAAAG
rnacentral:rRNA from 1 species